AGGAGACAGAAAGAGAGAGAGCGGCUAACAUGGCAGAGGGGGAAGCGCGCGACUGGGCAGAGGAACGGGGAGAGGAGGAGAGCGCGAGAGCGCGAGGACCAGGAGAGGUGCCCGGGGAUCGGAGACGGCAGCGCCUCGCUGGAAGUCGGCGUAUGCCUCAGGUCUGUCUGCGGACAUAAACCGGACGGAGAAGGAAGCUCCCCCUGCCUCCUCCUCAUCCCGCCUCUUGGCCCAUUAAGCAGACCCUUCUGUCGCCCGCCGUCCCCAAGGAGGAAUUGCCGCCCGUCUGCGGGAGGCGAAGUGUUCAAGCGAAGAGAGAGCCGGGAGGAGUCCGCACCCCGCAAGAGGCAACCUGCGAUCCCACUACCUCUUCCUUGAGCCAACUUAAUCCUUUGAAAGCAUAAAUCAAUGCCACCCUC